rnacentral:rRNA from 1 species
GAUGAACGCUGGCGGCGUGCCUAAUACAUGCAAGUCGAACGAAGCCUUCGGGCUUAGUGGCGAACGGGUGAGUAACACGUUGGUACCUACCCUCUAGUGGGGAAUAACUGGCCGAAAGGUCGGCUAAUAUCGCAUAAUACCGCAAGGUUAAAGCAGCAAUGCGCUAGAGGAGGGGCCUGCGUCCCAUUAGCUUGUUGGUAGUGUAAUGGACUAUCAAGGCGACGAUGGGUAGCUGGAUCGAGAGGUUGACCAGCCACACUGGGACUGAGAUACGGCCCAGACUCCUACGGGAGGCAGCAGUAAGGAAUCUUCCACAAUGGACGAAAGUCUGAUGGAGCAACGCCGCGUGCAGGAUGACGGCCUUCGGGUUGUAAACUGCUUUUAUAUGGGAAGAUUAUGACGGUACCAUAUGAAUAAGGACCGGCUAACUACGUGCCAGCCGCCGCGGUAA